rnacentral:rRNA from 1 species
CCUACGGGAGGCAGCAGUGGGGAAUCUUGCGCAAUGGGCGGAAGCCUGACGCAGCAACGCCGCGUGUGGGAAGACGGCUUUCGGGUUGUAAACCACUUUCAGGGGGGACGAAGCUUCCGAGGUUAAUAGCCUACGGGGUGACGGUACCCCCAGAAGAAGCCCCGGCUAACUACGUGCCAGCAGCCGCGGUAAUACGUAGGGGGCGAGCGUUGUCCGGAAUCAUUGGGCGUAAAGCGCGUGUAGGCGGCUUGAUAAGUCUGGUGUGAAAUCUUGGGGCUUAACCCCAAGCCUGCACUGGAUACUGUCAAGCUUGAGUCCGGGAGGGGAGAGCGGAAUUCCUAGUGUAGCGGUGAAAUGCGCAGAUAUUAGGAAGAACACCGGUGGCGAAGGCGGCUCUCUGGAACGGUACUGACGCUGAGACGCGAAAGCGUGGGGAGCGAACAGGAUUAGAUACCCUGGUAGUCCACGCCGUAAACGAUGGGCACUAGAUGUGGGCGGUGUCGACUCCGUCCGUGUCGAAGCUAACGCAUUAAGUGCCCCGCCUGGGGNGACGCGCAGCAACACAAGAGUAGACGCGNGAGAGNGCGACGCGACGACGAGGAGAGG